rnacentral:rRNA from 1 species
GGUUUCAGUAACGGAAGCUAACGGCGUGAAGUUGACCGCCUGGGGAGUACSGCCCGCAAGGUUGAAACUCCAAAGGGAAUUGACGGGGACCCGCACAAGCGGUGGAUGAUGUGGUUUAAUUSGAUGCAACGCGAAAAACCUUACYUACCCUUGACAUGCCAGGAACUUGCCAGAGAUGGCUUGGUGCUCGAAAGAGAACCUGGACACAGGUGCUGCAUGGCCGUCGUCAGCUCGUGUCGUGAGAUGUUGGGUUAAGUCCCGCAACGAGCGCAACCCUUAUCAUUAGUUGCUACGCAAGGGCACUCUAAUGAGACUGCCGGUGACAAACCGGAGGAAGGUGGGGAUGACGUCAGGUCAUCAUGGCCCUUAUGGGUAGGGCUACACACGUCAUACAAUGGCCGGUACAGAGGGCUGCCAACCCGCGAGGGGGAGCUAAUCUCAGAAAACCGGUCGUAGUCCGGAUCGCAGUCUGCAACUCGACUGCGUGAAGUCGGAAUCGCUAGUAAUCGCGGAUCAGCUUGCCGCGGUGAAUACGUUCCCGGGUCUUGUACAUACCGCCCGUCACACCAUGGGAGCGGGUUCUGCCAGAAGUAGUUAGCCUAACCGCAAGGAGGGCGAUUACCACGGCAGGUUCGUGACUGGG